GUCAAGGAUAGAGAUACAUUGCUUCACUGAGAUGCUCAGGAGGGGAAGGUGGAGGGAAAGGGGAGGGGAGACCCUGCAGCUGCAGCUUGUGGCUGUGGCCAGGAAAGUGGAAACUAAGGGAUUGGAACAAGGAGAAACAACUAAAAUCGAGUCUGGAGGGGCCACCUCAGCUCCGGAAGGGCAGACAUGAAGCAAAGUCCUUGUCCGAUGGAUCCCUGGAAAACAACAGCAUUAAACCAGAUGCGUUGCCCCUUGCUUUCCGGGAGCCCACCGAGGAUCAUGGGGCUUUCCCCUCAGAUUAGUGUGGUCUCUAUCCUUAGAAGGUAAACACCUUGCCAACGUUUCUGUUUGUUUCUCUGGUGCUUUAUAAAAGUAAAUGCUUUCUGUCAUUCAUUGAUUCAUUAAUGAAACCUUCCAGCACCUCUCUAAGCCGCAGCCUUCCGGGAGCAGCCAUAGCUCUUAGUAGCUUUCCCAUUCAUUUUUUUGUCAUUCAUUUUCAGUCGGGUCUGACUCUUUGUGACCCCACUUGGGGUUUUCUUGGCGGAGACACUGAAGUGGUUUGCCAUGUCCUUCUCCAGCUCAUUUUACAGAUGAGGAGCUGAGGGUCACAGCCAGGAAGUACCGGAGGCCAGAUUGGAGGAGUUCCAGAUUUCCGGCCGGCGCUCUAACCACUGGCUACCCCUCCCACUCAUCAGCCACCUAUUUUUUUGUGGCCUCAAGUUGUUAUCGAAUUUUUCCGUGUCCCUCUUUUGUCUUCCCUAGUAGAAGGGAAGUGAAAUGAAGGCAAAGGCUGGGUCUGAUUCAUCCUUUUCUUCCCUUGACGCCUAGCACAAGCACAGUGUCUUGCACUUACUUGGCACUUAAUGUCUGCGGGGGAGGAAAGCGGAAAGCCCCUCUGUCCCAUUCCCUGCCUCGAAGGGUCCUGCCUAGAGCCUCUGUCCUCCCCUCCCCCUCAGAGAUUAAUGAAGUCGGUAAAUUUGAAUCAGAGAGAAACGGGGAGGGGGAGGGCGAGCACACGUGUGCACGUGUGUCUAGCACGGUGUCCGGCUGUGCUCAGCAUCAGCGCGAGGCAGGGAGGGGUGGGGCGGAGGAGGAGGCUGUUAGGAGAAGGGCAGCCCAGAUAAGCUCAAGGUCCCGGUGUUGCCAUCCCCGUGUGAAUUACGGCAGCUCUGGGUGGGGGUGGGGGGGACCGAGGGACCGAGACUUCCUGCUGGCUGCGGCUGACGUCAAAAGGCUGCCGUGCUCUCCGAGGGGGAGGGGGCCGGGAGGAGCGCUGCCAAGUGACCUCCGCCAGGGCCAAGGCCCUGAGAGGAAGUCUCAUCGGCAAGGACGUGCAGUGUGCGUCUCACUGAGCCCGCGAGAGAGCUAAGCGGGAAGAGGGGGGCGGGAGGGCCGCUAUCUGCCCUCCUGACGGGGGAGCUGCAGAAAACAAGGCAACCAACUCUCCAUGACGGGAUUUCCCCGCGAGAGGAGAUACGGCUGACGCGAAAAGCUUGCCUCAGAGGAGCGUGGCAAUCGGCUGCAGGGAGCAGCAAGGGUCAGCGCCGUGGAGAAAAUGACGGUGGUGACGGGAGUGGGCAGAUUUCUCUUCAGCUUCCCAGAAGGCCGGGACUUGGGCCUCGGCGGUGCGCAGUCCGGCGCCCUUCUGUAUCCCCCGCCCUAUGCCCUCCCGAGCCCUGUCCAUUCUAGCUCGGCUCCAACCUCUUGCAACCCUCCGCCCCAUUGCCACUGCCUCCGCUCUGGUUAAGGCUCACCCCGCUCAUGGAAUAUUCAGCACCACUUGGGAGAUCCACAGCCCAAAGAACAUCACCGUCGCCUAUUGAAUAAAAUAAUUAAGUAAA